rnacentral:tRNA from 1 species
ACCUGGCUGGCUCAGUUGGUAGAGUACGUGACUCUUGAUCUCAGGGUUGUGAGUUCAAGUCCCAUGUUGGGUG